rnacentral:rRNA from 1 species
UACGAAGGGUGCUAGCGUUGUUCGGAAUUACUGGGCGUAAAGCGCGCGCAGGUGGUCUUUCAAGUCAGUGGUGAAAGCCCGGAGCUCAACUCCGGAAAUGCCAUUGAAACUGUGAGACUUGAGGACGAGAGAGGUGAGUGGAAUUCCCAGUGUAGAGGUGAAAUUCGUAGAUAUUGGGAAGAACACCGGUGGCGAAGGCGGCUCACUGGCUCGUAUCUGACGCUCAGGCGCGACAGCGUGGGGAUCAAACAGG